rnacentral:rRNA from 1 species
UACGUCUACGAGAGUAGUUGUACUCGUGCUAGGAUUAACGCUGGCGGCGUGCCUAAUACAUGCAAGUCGAAUGGUAGCAAUACCAUGGCGAACGGGUGAGUAACACGUAGGUAACCUGUCUUUAAGCCGAGGAUAACCAUUGGAAACGAUGGAUAAUACUGGAUAGGACAUUUGAAGGCAUCUUUUAAUGUUUAAAGAUUUAUCACUUAGAGAGGGGCCUGCGGCGCAUUAGCUAGUUGGUGAGGUGAAGGCUUACCAAGGCGAUGAUGCGUAGCCGGACUGAGAGGUUGAACGGCCACAAUGGAACUGAGAACGGUCCAUACUCCUACGGGAGGCAGCAGUAGGGAAUUUUCGGCAAUGGGCGGAAGCCUGAACCCGAGCAACGCCGCGUGAACGAAGAAGUAUUUCGGUAUGUAAAGUUCUUUUAUUAGGGACGAAAAGACAGAUUGACGGUACCUAAUGAAUAAGCUCCGGCUAACUACGUGCCAGCCGCUGC